GCCAGGUGUUGUGGCGGGCACCUGUAGUCCCAGCUACUUGGGAGGCUGAGGCAGGAGACUCACUUGAGCCCAGGAGUUGGAGGUUGCUGUGAGCUGUGAUGCCAUGGCAUUCUACCCAGGGGGAUAGCUUGAGGCUCCGUCUCAAAAAAAAAAAAAAAGGAAAGUAGAUCCAGAGAGAUUGAGUUAGAAUACAUUUUUAUAGACUUUAGUUUUUUUUUUUUUUUUUUUUUUUGAGAAAGAGCCUCAAGCUGUCUCCCUGGGUAGAGUGCCAUGGCUUCACUGCUCACAGCAAUCUCCAACUCCUGGGCUCAAGCGAGUCUCCUGCCUC
rnacentral:SRP_RNA from 1 species